AGCUUGCUCCCUGAGAUUAGCGGCGGACGGGUGAGUAACACGUGGGCAACCUGCCUAUAAGACUGGGAUAACUUCGGGAAACCGGAGCUAAUACCGGAUACGUUCUUUUCUCGCAUGAGAGAAGAUGGAAAGACGGUUUACGCUGUCACUUAUAGAUGGGCCCGCGGCGCAUUAGCUAGUUGGUGAGGUAAUGGCUCACCAAGGCGACGAUGCGUAGCCGACCUGAGAGGGUGAUCGGCCACACUGGGACUGAGACACGGCCCAGACUCCUACGGGAGGCAGCAGUAGGGAAUCUUCCGCAAUGGACGAAAGUCUGACGGAGCAACGCCGCGUGAACGAAGAAGGCCUUCGGGUCGUAAAGUUCUGUUGUUAGGGAAGAACAAGUACCAGAGUAACUGCUGGUACCUUGACGGUACCUAACCAGAAAGCCACGGCUAACUACGUGCCAGCAGCCGCGGUAAUACGUAGGUGGCAAGCGUUGUCCGGAAUUAUUGGGCGUAAAGCGCGCGCAGGUGGUUCCUUAAGUCUGAUGUGAAAGCCCACGGCUCAACCGUGGAGGGUCAUUGGAAACUGGGGAACUUGAGUGCAGAAGAGGAAAGUGGAAUUCCAAGUGUAGCGGUGAAAUGCGUAGAGAUUUGGA
rnacentral:rRNA from 2 species